CCUACGGGAGGCAGCAGUGAGGAAUAUUGGUCAAUGGGCGCGAGCCUGAACCAGCCAAGUCGCGUGAGGGAAGACGGUCCUAUGGAUUGUAAACCUCUUUUGUAGGGGAGCAAAAGACGCCACGCGUGGCGUUCCGUGAGUACUCUAAGAAAAAGCAUCGGCUAACUCCGUGCCAGCAGCCGCGGUAAUACGGAGGAUGCGAGCGUUAUCCGGAUUUAUUGGGUUUAAAGGGUGCGCAGGCGGAAGAUUAAGUCAGCGGUAAAAUUGAGAGGCUCAACCUCUUCGUGCAGUUGAAACUGGUUUUCUUGAGUGAGUGAGAGGUAGGCGGAAUGCGUGGUGUAGCGGUGAAAUGCAUAGAUAUCACGCAGAACUCCGAUUGCGAAGGCAGCAUACCGGCGCUCAACUGACGCUCAUGCACGAAAGUGUGGGUAUCGAACAGGAUUAGAUACCCUUGUAGUC
rnacentral:rRNA from 1 species